GUAACAAUUGGGGGCUCAGGCGAGAAACUGACAACGGGAAAGCAACAACGGAAGAAACAUAAUUGGAUAUUAUAAUCUCAAGGGGGAAUCCACUCUCUCGGAUGAGAGCGGUUGCUUUUGUUGUCAGUCUGAUGAUUGUCCUUUUGGUGUUAUAUUAUUGCUGGAUCUGUUUCCAGUUUUAACGUCAUGCAGUUCACGAUCAAAUUUGUCGACUUUGCCAGAGGAUGAAGUACAAGAGUGCAACGCUGAAGGUUCACUACGUCUUCGUCAAAAGGUUUCUGCUAAGAUUGUUCCUAACGUCUACUCAGUGAUGCCUAACAGUGGGGAAAGAUUUUGUAUUGUUGAUCACAUGUUUGUGGUUUGCUAGUGGUUUGAUACAGUGGUUUUUACACUGGUUUGUUGUUACAGUGGUUUGUUGCCCUGUUUUGUUACAAAGUUGUAAUAAUUUGAUAAAUCGCCCGUAAGUUAAAGUAAUAAUUAUUAUUGAAGUAUAAAAUGUUGUUUAAAUUUAAGAUUAAAAAGGGAGUGUGUAAUUUAUAAUAUUUUGAAGAUGUCGUUCUUCUGUUGUUGAAUCUUCCCUAUUCUGUUAUUCUGUUGCUAGAGUUUAAGGACGCUAUUCUUGCUGUAUCGAGUUUUCUCAAAUUUCAUUCUUUGUAGAGUAUUCUAGAGUAUAAUUAUAACAUUUAAAGAACAUUUGAUAUGGAUAUAAUGGAAGUUACGAACAGUUAGUUGGACGAAAGUUCUAGCAAACUUUCUUUUUUCAAGAGGGGGAGUGUGACGUGAAGCCAGUCACGUCAUAAACAUUCUUAAUUUAAGACAUUGCGUAAUUAUGCUAACUC